rnacentral:rRNA from 1 species
GGCUCAGGAUGAACGCUAGCGGCAGGCCUAACACAUGCAAGUCGAGGGGUAGGGUAGCAAUACCUGAGACCGGCGCACGGGUGCGUAACGCGUAUGCAAUCUACCUUUUACAGAGGGAUAGCCCAGAGAAAUUUGGAUUAAUACCUCAUAGUAUAUAUCAUUCGCAUGUUUGAUAUAUUAAAGUUCCAACGGUAAAAGAUGAGCAUGCGUCCUAUUAGCUAGUUGGUGUGGUAACGGCACACCAAGGCAACGAUAGGUAGGGGUCCUGAGAGGGAGAUCCCCCACACUGGUACUGAGACACGGACCAGACUCCUACGGGAGGCAGCAGUGAGGAAUAUUGGACAAUGGGCGCAAGCCUGAUCCAGCCAUGCCGCGUGCAGGAAGAAGCAUCUAUGGUGUGUAAACUGCUUUUGUACGGGAAGAAACACUCCUACGUGUAGGAGCUUGACGGUACCGUAAGAAUAAGGAUCGGCUAACUCCGUGCCAGCAGCCGCGGUAAUACGGAGGAUCCAAGCGUUAUCCGGAAUCAUUGGGUUUAAAGGGUCCGUAGGCGGUUUAAUAAGUCAGUGGUGAAAUCUGGUCGCUCAACGAUCAAACGGCCAUUGAUACUGUUAGACUUGAAUUACUAGGAAGUAACUAGAAUAUGUAGUGUAGCGGUGAAAUGCUUAGAUAUUACAUGGAAUACCAAUUGCGAAGGCAGGUUACUACUAGUGGAUUGACGCUGAUGGACGAAAGCGUGGGGAGCGAACAGGAUUAGAUACCCUGGUAGUCCACGCCGUAAACGAUGGAUACUAGCUGUUGGGCGCAAGUUCAGUGGCUAAGCGAAAGUGAU